GCCAGCGUGGUGUAGUGGUUUAAGUGCUGGACUGUGAUUCUGGAGACCAGGGUUCGAAUUCCCCACUCAGCCA